rnacentral:rRNA from 1 species
GUGAGUAAUGCCUAAGGAAUCUGCCUGGUACUGGGGGACAACGUUUCGAAAGGAACGCUAAUACCGCAUACGUCCUACGGGAGAAAGCAGGGGACCUUCGGGCCUUGCGCUAUCAGAUGAGCCUAGGUCGGAUUAACUAGUUGGUGAGGUAAUGGCUCACCAAGGCGACCAUCCGUANGUGGUCUGAGAGGAUGAUCAGUCACACUGGAACUGAGACACGGUCCAGACUCCUACGGGAGGCAGCAGUGGGGAAUUUUGUACAAUGGGANNAAGCCUGAUCCAGCCAUGCCGCGUGUGUGAAGAAGGUCUUCCGAUUGUAAAGCACUUUAAGUUGGGAGGAAGGGGAUUAACCUAAUACGUUAGUGUUUUGACGUUACCGACAGAAUAAGCACCGGCUAACUCUGUGCCAGCAGCCGCGGUAAUACAGAGGGUGCAAGCGUUNAUCGGAAUUACUGGGCGUAAAGCGCGCCGUAAGUGGUUUGUUAAGUUGGAUGUGAAAGCCCCGGGCUCAACCUGGGAACUGCAUUCAAAACUG